rfam:Colletotrichum orbiculare MAFF 240422 contig06414, whole genome shotgun sequence.
AUCCAAGUGCAAGGGCUUUACGCGUAUCAGUGAGGAUUCGUCCGAGAUCGUGUUUUUGCUAGUUGAAAACUAUACUAUGACCACUCCUAGUUGGCUUCGGCUGGCUAGGGAAUUUUGGGAACACUUUUUUCCUUGGACGGGAAGU